rnacentral:ncRNA from 1 species
UUUGUGGAGGGUUCGAUUCUGGCUCAGGAUGAACGCUGGCGGCGUGCUUAACACAUGCAAGUCGAACGGGAUCUUCCAAGCUUGCUUGGGGGUGAGAGUGGCGAACGGGUGAGUAAUGCGUGACUGACCUGCCCUGUACUUUGGAAUAGCUCCUGGAAACGGGUGGUAAUGCCGAAUGUUCCACAUGAGUGCAUGCGAUUGUGGGAAAGGGUUUACCGGUAUGGGAUGGGGUCGCGUCCUAUCAGCUUGUUGGUGAGGUAAUGGCUUACCAAGGCUUCGACGGGUAGCCGGCCUGAGAGGGUGACCGGCCACAUUGGGACUGAGAUACGGCCCAGACUCCUACGGGAGGCAGCAGUGGGGAAUAUUGCACAAUGGGCGCAAGCCUGAUGCAGCGACGCCGCGUGAGGGAUGGAGGCCUUCGGGUUGUAAACCUCUUUUAUCAAGGAGCAAGGCGGCCUUUUGGUUGUUGAGUGUACUUGUUGAAUAAGCACCGGCUAACUACGUGCCAGCAGCCGCGGUAAUACGUAGGGUGCAAGCGUUAUCCGGAUUAUUGGGCGUAAAGGGCUCGUAGGCGGUUCGUCGCGUCUGGUGUGAAAGUCCAUCGCUUAACGGUGGAUCUGCGCCGGGUACGGGCGGGCUGGAGUGCGGUAGGGGAGACUGGAAUUCCCGGUGUAACGGUGGAAUGUGUAGAUAUCGGGAAGAACACCAAUGGCGAAGGCAGGUCUCUGGGCCGUUACUGACGCUGAGGAGCGAAAGCGUGGGGAGCGAACAGGAUUAGAUAC